rnacentral:sRNA from 1 species
UGUUGGAACUCUCUUAUGUAAGAAGUUGAAUAAAGUUAGUUUAUCCGGUUACGCAACAUGGCUGCAUGAGUUAUUACAUGGUGUCAGAAAAUCCGCGUCCAUCAGUCAGGAACAAUGUCACACAGCGGUAUCAAAACUUUACCAGAAUUUAUUAUAGCUGAAUCUAACUCUGGAGCGAAAGAAUGGGAGGCUUACAAGCGCGACUUUCUUGUGCAUUUAGAUGCUCUGGGACUGGACGACAAACCCGGUAAGAAGAAAGUAGGAUUAUUACUAGCUAACAUGGGCCGGGAAGCUGUGAAAAUCUACGAUUCGUUCACAUGGGCUCCACAAAUAGAAGAGGACAUUCGGACAACCAGUGCAGCGAGGGCAAAGAGGAGGAAGCAGAUACCAAGAAAGGACACUUUAAGCAUUCAAACCUAUGUCAAAGUCGUGCAGCACCACCAAGAGGUCAUCAGAGAAGUCGGAGAAAUUUCAGAGGAAGAGGACACCCUCCGCGGCGUUCGCGAGUAUAUUAUGCGGAAGACAAUACACCUCAUGACAACUCUGAGCUAG